rnacentral:rRNA from 1 species
CGUCAUAGGAGACUGCCGGGGUCAACUCGGAGGAAGGUGGGGAGUGACGUCAAAUCAUCAUGCCCCUUAUGUCUUGGGCUUCACGCAUGCUACAAUGGCCGGUACAAAGGGCUGCAAUACCGCAAGGUGGAGCGAAUCCCAAAAAGCCGGUCUCAGUUCGGAUCGAAGUCUGCAACUCGACUUCGUGAAGCUGGAUUCGCUAGUAAUCGCGCAUCAGCCAUGGCGCGGUGAAUACGUUCCCGGGCCUU